AACAUCGCCUCUUGCCCCCACAAUAUAAGAGGUCCCGCCUGCCCUGUGACGAAAGUUUAACGGCCGCGGUAUUUUGACCGUGCGAAGGUAGCGUAAUCACUUGUCUUUUAAAUAGAGACCUGUAUGAAUGGCAUAACGAGGGCUAAGCUGUCUCCUCUCUCCGGUCAAUGAAAUUGAUCUGCCCGUGCAGAAGCGGGCAUGCCCACAUAAGACGAGAAGACCCUAUGGAGCUUUAGACACUAGAGCAGACCACGUUAAAACCCUCGGCUUAUCGAGACUGAACCAAGUGGCCCCCGCCCUCCUGUCUUUGGUUGGGGCGACCGCGGAGUAAUAACUAACCCCCACGUGGAAGGGGAAACACCCCCCAAGUCCAGAGGCACUCCUCCAGCAAGCAGAAAUUCUGACCAUAAGAUCCGGCAGAGCCGAUCAACGGACCCAGUUACCCUAGGGAUAACAGCGCAAUCCCCUUCUAGAGCCCAUAUCGACAAGGGGGUUUACGACCUCGAUGUUGGAUCAGGACUUCCUAAUGGUGCAGCCGCUAUUAAGGGUUCGUUUGUUCAACGAUUAAAGUCCUACGUGA
rnacentral:rRNA from 1 species